rnacentral:rRNA from 2 species
AGCUCCUUAUGGAGCGAAGUCUUUGAUUCCCCGCUGCCAAGAAAAGCUUCUAGCGAGAUAAAAGGUGCCUGUACCGCAAACCGACACAGGUAGGCGAGGAGAGAAUCCUAAGGUGUGCGAGAGAACUCUGGUUAAGGAACUCGGCAAAAUGACCCCGUAACUUCGGGAGAAGGGGUGCUUUCUUAACGGAAAGCCGCAGUGAAUAGGCCCAAGCGACUGUUUAGCAAAAACACAGCUCUCUGCGAAGCCGUAAGGCGAAGUAUAGGGGGUGACACCUGCCCGGUGCUGGAAGGUUAAGGAGAGGGGUUAGCGUAAGCGAAGCUCUGAACUGAAGCCCCAGUAAACGGCGGCCGUAACUAUAACGGUCCUAAGGUAGCGAAAUUCCUUGUCGGGUAAGUUCCGACCCGCACGAAAGGUGUAACGAUUUGGGCACUGUCUCAACCAGAGACUCGGUGAAAUUAUAGUACCUGUGAAGAUGCAGGUUACCCGCGACAGGACGGAAAGACCCCGUGGAGCUUUACUGUAGCCUGAUAUUGAAUUUUGGUACAGUUUGUACAGGAUAGGCGGGAGCCUUUGAAACCGGAGCGCUAGCUUCGGUGGAGGCGCUGGUGGGAUACCGCCCUGACUGUAUUGAAAUUCUAACCUACGGGUCUUAUCGACCCGGGAGACAGUGUCAGGUGGGCAGUUUGACUGGGGCGGUCGCCUCCUAAAGUGUAACGGAGGCGCCCAAAGGUUCCCUCAGAAUGGUUGGAAAUCAUUCGUAGAGUGCAAAGGCAUAAGGGAGCUUGACUGCGAGACCUACAAGUCGAGCAGGGACGAAAGUCGGGCUUAGUGAUCCGGUGGUUCCGCAUGGAAGGGCCAUCGCUCAACGGAUAAAAGCUACCCCGGGGAUAACAGGCUUAUCUCCCCCAAGAGUCCACAUCGACGGGGAGGUUUGGCACCUCGAUGUCGGCUCAUCGCAUCCUGGGGCUGUAGUCGGUCCCAAGGGUUGGGCUGUUCGCCCAUUAAAGCGGUACGCGAGCUGGGUUCAGAACGUCGUGAGACAGUUCGGUCCCUAUCCGUCGUGGGCGUAGGAAAUUUGAGAGGAGCUGUCCUUAGUACGAGAGGACCGGGAUGGACGCACCGCUGGUGUACCAGUUGUUCUGCCAAGGGCAUAGCUGGGUAGCUAUGUGCGGAAGGGAUAAGUGCUGAAAGCAUCUAAGCAUGAAGCCCCCCUCAAGAUGAGAUUUCCCAUAGCGUAAGCUAGUAAGAUCCCUGAAAGAUGAUCAGGUUGAUAGGUUCGAGGUGGAAGCAUGGUGACAUGUGGAGCUGACGAAUACUAAUAGAUCG